rnacentral:lncRNA from 1 species
AUGCAUGCAUUGCUGCAGCAGGAAGCACAGAGGUGCAGGGGUAGGCCUGCUGCCAGCCUGUGGGCGCCAUACUGUGUGGGGGGCUGUAGGGGCAGCAAGCAGCUGCCUGAGUGUUCUGGGUGCUUCCAGAACCUUCCACUGAGAAUUAAUCAGAAAUUACAGCAUAAAGCUCUGUGCGCCCAGCUGCCUGCACUCACAGGCUCUAAUGUGGAGAAGAUACUCGGACCUGCUAAUGGUACAGAUUAA